AAGCAUCCAGCUACCUAUCAACCUCAUGGACUGAGGAUUUCGAAUUCUAGUAAUGGCAUUCAAAGAAAUUUUUGGAUCAGCUGUGAAAUCCUCUACAUCUUCCGUCUCUUCCAAAUCAAUCCAGAACAAUUUCUUACAUUGAUGGCCUCGAACAAACUGCUCAUCACAAUUAAAACAGAGUCCUUUCUUCCGCCUCUCCUCCAUUUCAU
rnacentral:lncRNA from 1 species